UUUUGUUAUAGUUACUUCUGAUAUCAACUCUUCAAGAUCUACGAAUGUUAUUAAAAAACAAAAACAAUAAAUACAGAUUCUUAACGUAAAUAUGUUUUGUAAACGCAGAAUGCCUAAUAGUAAGGAGAGGCGUAUGCGACUUCUUCAAGAUGAUCAGCAUCUUACUGACUGUGAAUUUCUUGUCGGGGAUUCACCAGAUAAAGAACCACAACGCUUUCGCUGCCAUAAAAUGAUUUUAGCUUCUGCCUCUGAAGUUUUCGAACGAAUGUUUUACAGUGAGUUUAAUGUUGAUGGACCAGUACGUAUAACAGAGGUAGAUGGCAAAAGUUUUGAACGCUUCUUACGCUAUGUUUAUAUAUAUGAAAUAGAAACAGAAGAAUUUCUAUCGCUGAAAGAGUUAGGUGAAUUAUUGUAUUUAGCAGACAAGUACAUGAUGCAAGAUUUAACCGAUGAAUUAGUAAAACAUUUGAAACAUAAACACAAUUGGGCUAUAAGAGAUGUGUGGCCAAUGUUUGAUUUGGCAUGCCUUCAUGAAAACUUACCAUUAUUAUUGUUAUGUUAUGAGGAAAUAACAAAAUACGUCGAGACGCUGUUAUCUGUCGACUCCUUCUAUGAACUGAAUGCCAACCAUCUGAAACGAGUGGUGAUAUUAGUUUCGCAACAGCCACAUAUAUCAACAAAAUUUUUUCUGCAAAAGCUAGAGGAAUAUGGGCGUCGAAAUAAGUUGCAUGAAAAUCGAGAAUCUGAACAGUUUUUUAAAUUGGUGGAAGCCGCAUGCCUGUUGGAUUUCAACAAGCUAUCAAAAGCAGAUUAUGAGUCGGGACCUGCACAAUCAUAUUUGUUUAACAAAAAGUAACCAAAUUAUUAGAUGUUAAUUUAAAAAACCUAUUAGCCGUUAGAUUCGUUUUACAUAAUAUCAUUAUAUGUAUGUACAUAUAAAGUAGAUAAUGCGUAAUAGGUUUAUAAUUGAAAUUUCAAUCCAAAAUGAAAUAUUUAAAUCGGCCAAAUUAAAUUGGACCUUAUGGUCUGCAAAAACA
rnacentral:misc_RNA from 1 species